GAUGAAGAACGCAGCGAAAUGCGAUAAGUAGUGUGAAUUGCAGAAUUCAGUGAAUCAUCGAAUCUUUGAACGCACAUUGCGCCCCUUGGUAUUCCAUGGGGCAUGCCUGUUCGAGCGUCAUUUACCCCUCAAGCACUGCUUGGUGUUGGGCGUCUGUCCCGCUUCGCGCGCGGACUCGCCCCAAAGGUAUUGGCAGCGGUCGUGCCAGCUUCUCGCGCAGCACAUUGCGCUUCUCGAGGCGGUCGAUCGGCGUCCACGAAGCUCACCUCCACCGUUUGACCUCGGAUCAGGUAGGGAUACCCGCUGAACUUAAGCAUAUCAAUAAGCGGAGGA
rnacentral:misc_RNA from 1 species